UAAUAUGAAGGGGGCAAGAGUUACUCGGAAUUUUUGGGGGUAAAGCGUGCGUAGGGGGUGGUUUAAGUCUCAUGUGAAAGCCCCGGGCUCUACCUGGGAAUUGCAGUGGAUAUUGGAUCACUAGAGUGUGGGAGAGGAUAGUGGAAUUUUCGGUGUAGCGGUGAAAUGUUUAGAGAUAUGAAGGAACAUAUGUGGGGAGGGGGAGUAUCUGGGCCAACACUGACACUGAGGCACGAAAGCGUGGGGAGCACACACGAUUAGAUACCCCGGUAGUCCACGCCCUAAAAGAUG
rnacentral:rRNA from 1 species